rnacentral:rRNA from 1 species
CGGGGGGAGCAAGCGUUGUUCGGAUUUACUGGGCGUAAAGGGCGCGUAGGCGGCCAGCGCAAGUCAGUUGUGAAAUCUCCGGGCUUAACUCGGAAAGGUCAACUGAUACUGCGCGGCUAGAGUGCGGAAGGGGCAACUGGAAUUCUCGGUGUAGCGGUGAAAUGCGUAGAUAUCGAGAGGAACACCUGCGGCGAAGGCGGGUUGCUGGGCCGACACUGACGCUGAGGCGCGAAAGCCAGGGGAGCGAACGGGAUUAGAUACCCCGGUAGUCCUGGCCUUAAACGAUGGAUGCUUGGUGUCUGGAGUUUUAUAGUCUCCGGGUGCCGUAGCUAACGCGUUAAGCAUCCCGCCUGGGGAGUACGGUCGCAAGACUG